rnacentral:misc_RNA from 1 species
AACGCACGAGACCUGCGGACCUGCGGAAGGAUCAUUACCGAGUUCUCGCCCCUCGCGGGGUAGACCUCCCACCCACUGUGAUCACUACCGUCGUUGCUUUGGCGGGCCGCUGGGCCCAGCCCACCGCCGGCCCCGGCUGGCGCGUGCCCGCCAGAGGCCCUACAAACGCUGGAUAUCAGUGCCGUCUGAGUACACAUGUUAAUCGUUAAAACUUUUAACAAUGGAUCUCUAGAUCGGAAG